AAUAUUUCACAAUGGAGGAAACUCUGAUGCAGCGACGCCGCGUGAGCGAUGAAGGUCUUCGGAUCGUAAAGCUCUGUCCUAAGGGACACUAGUGACGGUACCUUAGGAGGAAGCCCCGGCUAACUACGUGCCAGCAGCCGCGGUAACACGUAGGGGGCGAUCGUUGUCCGGAAUUACUGGGCGUAAAGGGUACGUAGGCGGCUAUAUAAGUCAGGUGUGAAAUACCAGUGCUUAACACUGGAAUUGCAUUUGAAACUGUGUAGCUUGAGUGCAGGAGAGGAAAGUGGAAUUCCUAGUGUAGCGGUGAAAUGCGUAGAGAUUAGGAGGAACACCAGUGGCGAAGGCGACUUUCUGGACUGUAACUGACGCUGAGGUACGAAAGCGUGGGUAGCGAACA
rnacentral:rRNA from 1 species